GAUGAACGCUGGCGGCGUGCUUAAUACAUGCAAGUCGAGCGAACAGACGCGGCGCUUGCUCCUCUGACGUUAGCGGCGGACGGGUGAGUAACACGUGGAUAACCUCCCUAUCAGUCUGGGAUCACUUCGGGACACCGGAGCUUAUACCGGAUAAUAUAUUGAACCGUACGGUUCAUUAGUGAAUGACGGUUUUUCUGUCACUUAUAGAUGGAUCCCCGCCGCAUUAGCUAGUUGGUACGGUAACGGCUUACCAAGGCAACGAUGCGUAGCCGACCUGAGAGGGGGGUAGGCGACACUAGAGGGGAGACGCGAUCAAGACGACUAAGAGAGGCAGCAGUAGGGAAGCGUAGGCAAUGGGCGAAAACAUGACGGAGCAGCGGCGCGUGAGUGGUGAAGGUCUUCGGAGCGUAAAAAUCUGUUAUGAGGGGAGAACAAAUGUGGAAGUAGCUGUGCACGGAUUGACGGUACCUGGUAAGAAAGCCGCGGCUAACUACGUG
rnacentral:rRNA from 1 species